ACCGGGAUGCCUCAGUAACGGCGAGUGAAGCGGCAAGAGCUCAAAUUUGAAAUCUGGCCCCUCCGGGGUCCGAGUUGUAAUUUGCAGAGGAUGCUUCGGGUGCGGCCCCUGUCUAAGUGCCCUGGAACGGGCCGUCAGAGAGGGUGAGAAUCCCGUCUUGGGCAGGGUGCCCGUGCCCGUGUGAAGCUCCUUCGACGAGUCGAGUUGUUUGGGAAUGCAGCUCUAAAUGGGUGGUAAAUUUCAUCUAAAGCUAAAUACCGGCCGGAGACCGAUAGCGCACAAGUAGAGUGAUCGAAAGAUGAAAAGCACUUUGAAAAGAGAGUUAAACAGCACGUGAAAUUGUUGAAAGGGAAGCGCUUGCGACCAGACUCGGCCCCGGGGUUCAGCCAGCACUCGUGCUGGUGUACUUCCCCGGGGGCGGGCCAGCGUCGGUUUGGGCGGCCGGUCAAAGGCCCCAGGAAUGUGUCGCCCUCCGGGGCGUCUUAUAGCCUGGGGUGCAAUGCGGCCAGCCCGGACCGAGGAACGCGCUUCGGCACGGACGCUGGCGUAAUGGUCGCAAACGACCCGUCUUGAAACACGGACCAAGGAGUCUAACAUCUACGCGAGUGUUCGGGUGUCAAACCCGUACGCGCAGUGAAAGCGAACGGAGGUGGGAGUCCCGCAAGGGGCGCACCAUCGACCGAUCCUGAUGUCUUCGGAUGGAUUUGAGUAAGAGCGUAGCUGUGGGGAUCCGAAAGAUGGUGAACUAUGCCUGAAUAGGGCGAAGCUCAGAGGAAACUCUGGUGGAGGCUCGCAGCGGUUCUGACGUGCAAAUCGAUCGUCAAACUUUGGGUAUAGGGGUGAAAGACUAAUCGAAACCAUCUGGUAGCUGGGUUCUGCGAAG
rnacentral:rRNA from 1 species